AUGCCUCCUAUUUUAAGUUCUAAAACUCCCAUCCUAACACUGUUUCAGGGGUAGGGAUGAGCUCGGUGCCAACUGAUACAAAAAUCGGUACUGAUACCGAAAAUACCGGUUACGGUGCCGAUAUAUGAAGGUAAAAAACGAUAGUGAACUGGUACCAGGAACGUCAAAAGUCGGUACCGAAUCGGUACUUAAGAUCUUUCGGUUCGGCAAAUUUGGUACCGAUACCCAGAACAAUUUGCUCAUCUCUGACCACGGGUUUCAUACGAACAACAUCGUUACCAUACAACUUUUUUUGUUGAUUUUCUUUCGGUUAUCUUUUAGUGUUUUUUUCUACACUAGUGUGAAUGCCCACGUGUUGCGGCAGGUACCCGAGUGUUGCCAAGAAUUCUAAAGAGAUUCGGACAAAAAGUCUUGAACGUAAUCAGUGGUGUAACAACAAUCUAUAAAAACAACUUAAAAACAAGAUUAAGUCAUACGAGCAAAGUUUUG
rnacentral:lncRNA from 1 species